GGAGAGGUGCCCGAGUGGCUUAAGGAGCUCGCUUGGAAAGCGAGUGUGGGUCAAAAGCCCACCGCGGGUUCGAAUCCCGCCCUCUCCG
rnacentral:tRNA from 1 species